UACGUAGGGGGCAAGCGUUGUCCGGAAUCAUUGGGCGUAAAGAGCGUGUAGGCGGCCCGAUAAGUCCGCUGUGAAAGUCCAGGGCUCAACCCUGGAAUGCCGGUGGAUACUGUCGGGCUCGAAUCCGGAAGAGGUGAGUGGAAUUCCUGGUGUAGCGGUGAAAUGCGCAGAUAUCAGGAGGAACACCUAUUGCGAAGGCAGCUCGCUGGGACGUUACUGACGCUGAGACGCGAAAGCGUGGGGAGCAAACAGG
rnacentral:rRNA from 1 species